rnacentral:rRNA from 1 species
GUGGGGAAUAUUGGACAAUGGGCGCAAGCCUGAUCCAGCCAUGCCGCGUGUGUGAAGAAGGCCUUUUGGUUGUAAAGCACUUUAAGCGAGGAGGAGGCUACUUGGAUUAAUACUCUAGGAUAGUGGACGUUACUCGCAGAAUAAGCACCGGCUAACUCUGUGCCAGCAGCCGCGGUAAUACAGAGGGUGCGAGCGUUAAUCGGAUUUACUGGGCGUAAAGCGUGCGUAGGCGGCUUCUUAAGUCGGAUGUGAAAUCCCUGAGCUUAACUUAGGAAUUGCAUUCGAUACUGGGAAGCUAGAGUAUGGGAGAGGAUGGUAGAAUUCCAGGUGUAGCGGUGAAAUGCGUAGAGAUCUGGAGGAAUACCGAUGGCGAAGGCAGCCAUCUGGCCUAAUACUGACGCUGAGGUACGAAAGCAUGGGGAGCAAACAGGAUUAGAUACCCGAGUAGUCC